CAGUCGCCGCGGUAAUACGAGGGGGGCAAGCGUUGUUCGGAAUUAUUGGGCGUAAAGGGCGCGUAGGCGGUUUGGCAAGUUUCGUGUGAAAUCUUCGGGCUCAACUCGAAGUCUGCACGGAAAACUGCCGGGCUUGAGUAUGGGAGAGGUGAGUGGAAUUUCCGGUGUAGCGGUGAAAUGCGUAGAUAUCGGAAGGAACACCUGUGGCGAAAGCGGCUCACUGGACCAUAACUGACGCUGAGGCGCGAAAGCUAGGGGAGCAAACAGGAUUAGAUACCCCCGUAGUCCCUGUCUCUUAUAC
rnacentral:rRNA from 1 species